GAGGAGAAGCUGGGAGGGUCCCAACCAACCACAGGGCGUUCUCUGGAGGCCCAGCUGAGGCGCGUGGGCGGAAACGGCCCCUGGUCUCCGCUUGCUUUCUGUUUGAAACACUCACGGAGCACACCACAAGGUUUUUCAGAGUGACACGAUAUAUAUUUAAGGGUGAGUCAAACCUCAAACUACAUUGCCCGAGAGUGGAGCUGCUGCAAGGAAAGUGGUUAAAUUAUUGGCAUGAGACACAGGACGCCGGAGCCUAUGGCGUGGAGAAACCACUAGUAAAAGUGGAAGGAAACGACUUUUGAAGAUAGUGCUACCUGUGCUAAGAAACCUCAAGUGCUUACCAACCGUUUCUGAUCAAACCUGAAAUAGGCUCCACACCCAGUGGGCUUGAACUCAUGAC